AGGACGAACGCUGGCGGCGUGCUUAACACAUGCAAGUCGAGCGGUGAUCCUCCUUCGGGAGGUGAGCAGCGGCGAACGGGUGAGUAACACGUGGGCAACCUGCCCCUCACACUGGGAUAACCUCGGGAAACCGGGGCUAAUACCGGAUAUGACCUCGAGCGGCAUCUCUUGAGGUGGAAAGCUCCGACGGUGAGGGAUGGGCCCGCGGCCUAUCAGCUUGUUGGUGGGGUAAUGGCCUACCAAGGCGACGACGGGUAGCCGGCCUGAGAGGGCGACCGGCCACACUGGGACUGAGACACGGCCCAGACUCCUACGGGAGGCAGCAGUGGGGAAUAUUGCGCAAUGGGCGAAAGCCUGACGCAGCGACGCCGCGUGAGGGAUGAAGGCCUUCGGGUUGUAAACCUCUUUCAGCAGGGACGAAGCGAAAGUGACGGUACCUGCAGAAGAGCACCGGCUAACUACGCGCAGCAGCCGCGGUAA
rnacentral:rRNA from 1 species